CUCAUUCACCUCUGAGCAGAGAGAGAGAGAGAGAGGGAGAGGACCCGCUUGGUCUGAUUGUUGAAAUCAUGAGAUAGAGAGAGAGGGAGAUGUGCGUUUGUGAAGAAGGGCAACGAAAAGAAAAGAGGGUGUUUGGAAUGAAGUUUUGUCCCAGAUCCUUAAUUGCCCCUGAUGGAUCGAUGAUUUUCUUUUCAUUUGUCUCCAUUCUUAGCUAAUUUUGCGGUCGUUCACGUUCGCGUUCUUGUUGGACAACAACAAAAAAAGAGAAAAAAAGAGAAAUCUCACCAGGAAAAAAAAGGAAGUAGGUUUUUUUUGUUUUUGUUUUUUUUUCUCAUUUAGGCUCAAAAUAACAUGCACACAAAAUACCAAAUAGUGUUUAUGAGAGAAAUGUGGGGUUGUUUUUGAUCAGUGGGAGAGCAAGAUUCCAUAUCUCUUUACCUUUAUGUUUAAGCUUUAAUUUGUCUUUUUGGGAAGGGAAGAGAUAGCGUUUCUGGACAAAUAAAAGACAUGCAUGUAUCUCAUCUCAGCUACUCUCAUGGGUUUAGACUACCCUAAGCUUUGUCCUCUUCAAAGAAUUGGAAUUUGAUUGAUGUUUUGUCCACAUAUGGAAUUUAUUUCUAUUCCUAAGUCUAUUGGUUAUUUGUCUUCUUCUCUCUCUUUCUUUCAAAAGUUUUUUUGUAGGGGUAGUUCACAGAUUUUAUCAUCUUAAAACCAGUUAGGGUUGAGAGUUGUAAUUAAUCAGAUUUGAUUGGAUCUCGGACCAGGCUUCAUUCCUCACACCAAACUUUUCGCUUACAAACAUAUAUGCCAUUUAUUUUAUCGAACAGACAAAUUCAGAGAAAAGUAAGCAGGAACGGAGAAAUUGAUUGGAAAUCUCUAACAUAUGGAGAUAUCAACAAUACAGUCCAAGCUGCUUGCUUACAAAUGUGUAGAGAAUUGAAGCUAUCUCCAUCAUGUCCCCGCCUUAUCGAGGAUUCACGGGGCCGACAAUAUAAUACAUAUGAAAAAAGCUACCGAGUGGGAGCUGGAAAAGACACACUUUUUUUUAUGAUGACCCUAUGACGGAUCCUUAAUAAGGUUGUGAGUCAAGAAAUGGGUCGUUGAUAUCGAUAUCGAUGAGAGGAUUUGUAAUGUCGCCAACUACGAAGAUUAGGAGGAAAUCAUAAUUCGCUCACUGGCGUCAUCAUCAGAAAGACAAUUCACCACUCGUUGAAUAAGGUAAACUCCGUUGAUGAGUUUGUUCAUGCUAAAGCAUAAAUUAUGUGAUUUUGUAAAAGAGUGUGCCUGUCAUGCUCUCUCCGCUUCAUUUCUUGUAAUUGGACAUUGGCUUCGAACCAUGCCUUGAUAUCUUCUUCUUGAAGGUGGGUGUACUCGAACUUUUCCCACCACUUGAUUUGUAUUGCAUUUAUUAAUGCUUUGAAAUUUAUAGAUUUAUCCAAUUGGAAUUUCCA